GUGAAUCAUCGAAUCUUUGAACGCACAUUGCGCCCCUUGGUAUUCCAUGGGGCAUGCCUGUUCGAGCGUCAUUUGUACCCUCAAGCUCUGCUUGGUGUUGGGUGUUUGUCCCGCAAGGGACUCGCCUUAAAGCAAUUGGCAGCCGGCAUAUUGUCUUGGAGCGCAGCACAUUUUGCGUCUUCAGGCGGUCAUGUUGGCGUCCAUUAAGCCUAUUUUCACUUUUGACCUCGGAUCAGGUAGGGAUACCCGCUGAACUUAAGCAUAUCAAUAAGCGGAGGA
rnacentral:misc_RNA from 1 species